GUUUGAUCCUGGCUCAGGACGAACGCUGGCGGCGUGCCUAACACAUGCAAGUCGAACGGACACAGUGGGGUAGUUUACUACUCCACUGUUUUAGGGGCGGACGGGUGAUUAACAGGUGGGCAACCGGCCUUACAAAGGGGAAUAACCGCGAGAAAUCCUUGCUAUUACCCCAUACGAUCUUUUAAUCACCUGAUUAAAAAACGAAAGGAUAACUCCGCUCUAUGAAGGGCCCGCGCCUGAUUAUCUAGUUGGUGAGAUAAGACCCCACCAAAGCGACAAUCAUUACCCGAUCUGAAAGGAUGACCGGCCACACUGGAACUGAAACCCGGUCCAAACUCUUACGGAGGCGCAUUGGUAGCGAAUCGUUGCAAUCGAGGGAGACUGAUGCAUGCACCCCGGCUUGAGAAAAGGAUUGACUUACGAUUGUGAUACAUCCUGUCUUUGGACAUAUAUCGAAGUACCUAGAGGCAGCGCACGAGCUACUACGUGCUACAGCGUCCGGGCUAUACGUAGUGGCGGACAGUGUCGGAUACUGGGCAUAAAGGGUCGACUAGACGGUCCUUCGAUCAGUGUGUGAAACCGCCAAUGGCUUACUUGCUGCCAUGAGAACUGAUCUCAGGUCAUAGAGCGUAAGGACAUUCUAUGUAGCGGUGAUGCGUAAUAUAGGUAGAGCACCAGUGUCGAAGCGGUUCUGCACAUACUGACGCGGGCGGAGCGUGGGAGCGAAUGAUUAAUACUGUAGUCCAGUUUCAACGAUGUGAUACUGUGUGAGUAGGUAUCAACCCUUCCGUGCCUGAGUCACGCAUUAAGUAUCUACGCCUGGGAGUACGUGCAAGGAUGAAUCAAAGGCUAUUGACUGCGGGCCCGGGCCAGCAGCGGCAGCUGUGUUAUUCUGAACACGGAUAGAUCCUUACCACACUUCAUCCCUGCUAUCGUAUGGAAUGAAAUCCUUCGGACAGGGAGACGAUGGUCAUGUGGUCGUCAGCUGCGGUGUGAGAUGUUGGUUAAGUACCCAACGAGCGCAACCCUAUACCUUAGGUGCUUCAUUAGUUGAGCACUCUUAAGAACUCGGAAGCAAUCGGAGGAAGGUGGGGAUGACGUCAAAUCAUCAUGUCCUCUAUGUUCUGGGCGACUCACGUGUUGCAAUGGUUAAAUCAUCUGGAUAGAAGAUAGUGAUAGUGAGCCAAUCCGUGAAAAACGCUUUCAGUUUGGAUUGUCGGGUGCAAUUCGCCUACAUGAAGUCGGAGAUUCUGGUAAUCGCGAAUCAGCAUGUCGCGGCGAAUACGUUCCCGGGCCUUGUACACACCUCCCGUCACCCCGCGGGAGCACGAAGCACCGGAACCCAGUGAGUUAACGGUAAGGACAGAGCUGUCGAAGGUGAAGCCAAUGAGUGG
rnacentral:rRNA from 1 species